UACGUAGGGGGCAAGCGUUGUCCGGAUUUAUUGGGCGUAAAGAGCGUGUAGGCGGCCACACAGGUCUGCUGUGAAAACUCGAGGCUCAACCUCGAGCUGUCGGUGGAAACCGUGUGGCUAGAGUCCGGAAGAGGAGAGUGGAAUUCCCGGUGUAGCAGUGAAAUGCGCAAAUAUCGGGAAGAACACCCGUGGCGAAGGCGGCUCUCUGGGACGGUACUGACGCUGAGACGCGAAAGCGUGGGGAGCGAACAGG
rnacentral:rRNA from 1 species